rnacentral:rRNA from 1 species
AUUGAACGCUGGCGGCAGGCCUAACACAUGCAAGUCGAGCGGAUGAAGGGAGCUUGCUCCUGGAUUCAGCGGCGGACGGGUGAGUAAUGCCUAGGAAUCUGCCUGGUAGUGGGGGAUAACGUCCGGAAACGGGCGCUAAUACCGCAUACGUCCUGAGGGAGAAAGUGGGGGAUCUUCGGACCGCACGCUAUCAGAUGAGCCUAGGUCGGGUUAGCUAGCUGGUGGGGUAAAGGCCUACCAAGGGGGCGAUCCGUAACUGGUCUGAGAGGAGGAUCAGUCACACAGGAGCUGAGACACGGUCCAGACUCCUACGGGAGGCAGCAGUGGGGAAUAUUGGAAACUGGGCGAAAGCCUGAUCCAGCCAUGCCGCGUGUGUGAAGAAGGUCUUCGGAUUGUAAAGCACUUUAAGUUGGGAGGAAGGGCAGUAAGUUAAUACCUUGCUGUUUUGACGUUACCAACAGAAUAAGCACCGGCUAACUUCGU